AUAUCCGCUGGGCAGCAUACCCACUGAAAAUAGAAGGAUACGGAGAUGAUUAGCAUGGUGCCUGAUGAUAUGCAGACUUGUGAAGUGUUCUGUACUUUA
ensembl:snRNA U6 U6 spliceosomal RNA